rnacentral:rRNA from 1 species
UGGGGAAUAUUGCACAAUGGGCGAAAGCCUGAUGCAGCAACGCCGCGUGAGUGAUGAAGGCCUUCGGGUUGUAAGGCUCUGUCUUUUGGGACGAUAAUGACGGUACCAAAGGAGGAAGCCACGGCUAACUACGUGCCAGCAGCCGCGGUAAUACGUAGGUGGCAAGCGUUGUCCGGAUUUACUGGGCGUAAAGGAUGCGUAGGCGGAUUUUUAAGUGAGAUGUGAAAUACCCGGGCUUAACUUGGGUGCUGCAUUUCAAACUGGGAAUCUAGAGUGCGGGAGAGGAGAAUGGAAUUCCUAGUGUAGCGGUGAAAUGCGUAGAGAUUAGGAAGAACACCAGUGGCGAAGGCGAUUCUNUGGACCGUAACUGACGCUGAGGCAUGAAAGCGUGGGUAGCAAACAGGAUUAGAUACCCUGGUAGUCCACGCCGUAAACGAUGAGUACUAGGUGUAGGAGGUAUCGACCCCUUCUGUGCCGCAGUUAACACAAUAAGUACUCCGCCUGGGAAGUACGAUCGCAAGAUUAAAACUUAAAUGAAUUGACGGGGUCAUAGC